CAACAGCGUAUAUUAAAGUUGUUGCAGUUAAAACGCUCGUAGUCGGAUUUCGGGGCGGGCGGGCCGGUCUGCCGAUGGGUAUGCACUGGUCUGGCCGUCCUUCCUUCCGGAGGCCGUGCGUGCUCUUACUGAGUGCGCUCGGGAGACGGAUCGUUUACUUUGAAAAAAUCAGAGUGUUUCAAGCAGGCAGCUCGCUCUUGCAUGGAUUAGCAUGGGAUAAUGAAAUAGGACUUUGGUGCUAUUUUGUUGGUUUCGAACACCGAAGUAAUGAUUAACAGGGACAGUCAGGGGCACUCGUAUUCCGCCGAGAGAGGUGAAAUUCUCAGACCAGCGGAAGACGAACCACUGCGAAAGCAUUUGCCAGGGAUGUUUUCACUG
rnacentral:rRNA from 1 species